GAGCCUGAUGCUGUGUCCAUAUUGGCGGAUGUGGAUGAAACUUCAGAGACUUUUGCUAUAUUAAAUAUUAUUAUUGGCUUUGUACUCGAGUACAUUUCUCUUCAGCAAUCUUCUACGGUCAGCACGAGUCCUCCUCGCUUACUACAGAAAUCUUUGUCGCUUCUCCAUGUGCUCUGCUCGAACGAUUCGACGGCGCCCGUUACUUUUUCUUACCUGGAACAAAAAAAUUUCCAAACCAUUUUUAGUAAAUAUAAAUAUGAAAGCUUGCAAGAGAACUUUGACUAUUCUAUUCAGUUCCUUCUACUUCGGAUAUUAACGAGUUGGCUUUUCUUUGGAGGAAUCGAGUCGGAAAAAAGUGUUAAUUAUGCUC